ensembl:snRNA U2 U2 spliceosomal RNA
AUCACUUCUUGGGCUUUUGGCUAAAAUCAUGUGUAGUAUUUGUUUUUAUCAGUUUAAUAUCUGAUAUGUACUCUAUCCUAAUUGGAAGAGUAUACUUGUUAUGAAUAUAAGUUUGAUAAACCAUU